UAGGGAAUCUUCCGCAAUGGACGCAAGUCUGAAGGAGCAACGCCGCGUGAGUGAAGAAGGAUUUCGGUUCGUAAAACUCUGUUGUUAGAGAAGAACAGCGCAUAGAGUAACUGUUAUGCGUGUGACGGUAUCUAACCAGAAAGCCACGGCUAACUACGUGCCAGCAGCCGCGGUAAUACGUAGGUGGCAAGCGUUGUCCGGAUUUAUUGGGCGUAAAGCGAGCGCAGGCGGUCAAUUAAGUCUGAUGUGAAAGCCCCCGGCUCAACCGGGGAGGGUCAUUGGAAACUGGUUGACUUGAGUGCAGAAGAGGAGAGUGGAAUUCCAUGUGUAGCGGUGAAAUGCGUAGAUAUAUGGAGGAACACCAGUGGCGAAGGCGACUCUCUGGUCUGUAACUGACGCUGAGGUUCGAAAGCGUGGGUAGCAAACAGG
rnacentral:rRNA from 1 species